CAGCAGCCACGGUAAUACGAGGGGAGCUAGCGUUGUUCGGAAUUACUGGGCGUAAAGCGCGCGUAGGCGGCUUUUUAAGUCAGAGGUGAAAGCCCGGGGCUCAACCCCGGAAUUGCCUUUGAAACUGGAAAGCUAGAAUCUUGGAGAGGUCAGUGGAAUUCCGAGUGUAGAGGUGAAAUUCGUAGAUAUUCGGAAGAACACCAGUGGCGAAGGCGACUGACUGGACAAGUAUUGACGCUGAGGUGCGAAAGCGUGGGGAGCAAACAGGAUUAGAUACCCCGGUAGUCCCUGUCUCUUAUAA
rnacentral:rRNA from 1 species